ACGUGAAAGCCAUCUGCUUGUAACACAUCCCUGAGGACCACAGUGGUUUUAGCUGAUCUGGCCGGAAAGGCAGCUACUUCCUCUUUUUCUCACCAUUUAACUUGGGCAUCUGCCAGAAAAGCCCAUUCGGUCAAGAAGCACAACCUUCCAAACAGAAGGACCAUUUAUCUUAUCAAGGGUGUUCAAGGACCUGUACUUUCCUACUUCAAGUUCUAAAUAGGUUUAUUUAGGGCCAAUGGGAGGAUGACAUGGGAUAGUAAAUUUUCCAAGACUGCCAUUCUCGAAAAACCUGUUUCAGAGAUU
ensembl:misc_RNA 7SK 7SK RNA